rnacentral:tRNA from 1 species
UAUUUAAAUAGUUUAAUUAAAAUUUAGGUUUGUGGAACCUGAGAUGUAUUUUAUACUUUAAAUAA